rnacentral:lncRNA from 1 species
AUGCAUGAGGCCACACAGGAGGAAGAAAGCAGCUUCGCUGUGAGACUAGGGAAACAGGCAGUGUUUCAUAAUUGUCUUUAUGCACCUGAUGGAAGAAAAUAUUCCUCCAAAGUGAAAGCAAAAAUCUCAGGCAGAAAUAGCUGGGUGUUGGAGGGAGCUAAAUCAGGAAAAGGUCUUGGCCACAGCUCACUGCUUCAGCGACUACCUCGAGGCCAGCUGGGGACCGACAGUCUCAGACACCGGCCAGUUGCCACAGAUGCAAUUGCUUUGAAAAGCAGGCUCCCGUCACCACUAACCUCAUGCAGAAGAAAUGAAAAUGGGAAACGUGGUGAUAUUUUAUUCAGUUUCCUCUGGCUCGUUCUAGGAAACAGAACCGAGGCAAAGGACGAUUGGAAUGAAAUGAGGUUUUCUUUUUAGCAAAUAAAUAUUCCAUAUGCAGAAGCA